rnacentral:lncRNA from 1 species
AAAAAAAAAAAAGAAAGAAAAGAAAAAAUGAAGAAAAGCUUAGCAAUUGUCACCAUUGACCUAAUGUGAAUGAGGCAGAGUACCCAAAUGCCAAAUACCAAAGAGAAAUGAAAGCAGGCAAGAUGGGUCUUCCCAAGCCCAGGCCAUCUGUGACCUGCCCAUCCAGCCACCUGGAGAGACAAGGUAGAAGAGAGUGCCACAUCCCAAGGCAUCAACUAUUAAGAGUUACAAUGUUCCUACCCAUCAACAAAGCCUGGACUUGUUAUUGUCCUGGAAUCUGACCAAACAGAUGUGUCAGUGCUCCCAGAGUGGAAGGAACAAAGUGGAGCUCUGGUAUCUCCUCUCACCUGAGGCUUCAGCGUUACAAUGCUUCCCACCUCUUGACCCUUGCUCAUAUUGCUAACCCUGCCUUGAAUAGCCUCCCCACUUUUGCCUGUUGAAACUUAUCCUUCAAGAUCCAGAACAACAUUCUGCUUCCUGAUCACCUUACUUCAAUCUCAUUUCUUCUAAAUUCUAACAGUAUUGACUAUACUUCUAAUUUGCUACUUAUCAUCUCCUGCCUCCUGCUUUGCAUUAUUGGCUGUGCUUUCUUUUUUUUUGAGAAGAAGUCUUGCUCCGUCGCCCAGGCUGGAGUGCAGUGGCGUGAUCUCAGCUCACUGCAACCUCUGCCUCCUGGGUUUAAGUGCUUCUCCUGCGUCAGCCUCCCGAAUAGCUGAGAUUACAGGCACCCGAUUGGCUCUGCUUUCUUGGAUGGAAAAACAAGACACCAAGAGGUUAAGUGGUUUUACCAAGGAUACGUGGCUUGUUAAGUGCCAAGCUCUCCAUGGCAUAUUAUGCUGCCUUCCAAGUGCCUUAGGCUGUGUGUUGACUGGGGCAUCCUCUCUGCAAUCAUGGCUGUGAGUGAUAGGUGGACUUGCCAACUCCCUGAUUACCUGCCAUCCAUGGAAAGUCAACACCUAAAUAUGUUGUCUUAUACUACUAGAUAAUAUAUGACUAUUAUACUGCAAAUAAUCUUUUUGAAGCAAAUUAUAGGAAUAAAUUGAGACUAAGAACAAUAAUAAACUUGGGAAAUUUACAAAGGCAACAAAAU